ACUUGUGACGGAAAGUUCACACAAACUAAGACGCAUUCAUCAAACAUUAGAAGCGGAGACAAACGUUUUGUACAUUUGGUAAAGGGUUGAAUUAAAUUAUUUAGAAAUAUCCCAUAUUAAUACGCUUUUAUUAGCUUCAGACGUAUGUAUGUAUGUUUGUAACGGGAUCUUUGAACAUAAUUUUGACCCGCUUCAAAACGUCGUAUUAACUCGGAAUUAACGCUUUUUUUUAGAAUAAAAUCGUUUUUUCUUACCGUAUUUUUAAUUCAAAUUUUACUAAAAUUUAAUUUUCUAUUUUUUAGUUGGAGAUUCAAUAAAAGAGUAUUUUGUUAGUUUUUUUAAACUAUUAUUUAUUUUACAGAGUUCGCUUAUUUCCAAAAUCGGUCAUUAAUAAAAGUGUAUUGUUUCUUUCGAACGUUGAAAGUAAUUAAUAUAAAAUUAUAUUUAAAAAAAAAACAUUAUAUAUUUAUGUUAAGUUAUGUGAUUUCUAAAAGGUAAAUAAUACAGUUAAAUUUGUUUUACCUAAAAAUUCUGAAUUAGAUAUUCAACAACCAAAUGAAUUUCUAAUUCAGAAUACAUAUUUAGGUAAAACAAUAUUAUACUUAGGAUACAGAAAUCACGAAGAUGCUGCAGUUCGUAAGAUUAUAUCGACACAUUACAAAAAUUAAUGACCCGAUGAAUUCUAAAUCUGGGGGCGUUUUAAUGAUGAAAUAACAAUAAUUCUACAAUAAUGUUUCGAUCUACAUUUAAUAGUCUGUCGAAUGAUGUUACGUAAUAAUCGUGUUGUUUUUCGAAAUGACGUAAUCUCACAACGUUCGAAAGUUUCGAUCUAAUUUCACACAUGUGCAUUCUGUUCGCGUGUCGUUCCUAUACUUUGCGUAAUACGAAAAGAUGACAUUAUUUUUAGUGACGUAACAAUUUGUUACCACAUUUCAAGUGUUGCGAAGAAGAACGUUCGGAAUUACAAUUACACGUUUUCAAUUUAUCAUUACGAUAAUACUAUCACUGCUUAUAAGUAGAAUUGUUAUCGAAAUAGAACAUUAUAUCAAUUUUAUGCGACGUAACAAUCUAAAUUUUUUUUUUUUUUUUUAUUGCCCUUGUAGGCAGACGAGCAUACGGCCCCCCUGAUGGUGAGUGGUUACCGUCGCCCAUGGACUAUAUAUUAAUUUAUCGCAAUAAAACUAAUAUUUGAUAGAAUAUGAAAUUGAAACAACUCGUUAGGUAUGUGCUCCAAGUAAAUUAAAUAUGACAUGCGUCAGUUGCGUAACGACGAUAUAUUUUAUAAAUAUCGUCAUUAAAUUUGAUAAGAGAUAGAAGAUAAUAAUUGAAAUCGACAACGGAUGCUUCUGCCCUACGAUUGUUAUAAUCGUCAACGAUGUUGUAGCUUAAGUAAUAACACCGCGCAUAUCAAAUACAGUUUACAAACGUCUUCAGUAAAGACAAAAAACACAUAUUUGUUACUCUAUAUUUAGCAAUUUAUGGGAGACAUCACAUACUCGUAGAUACAGACGUCUAACAAAAUCCUCCAGCUAUACAAGUUCAGUGUUUUGUCUGCGCUGAAAACAAUCUCAAGCACCGGUCAUCGUUCUCGUCGAACCCGUUGCUUGCGACGAAGGGCUCGACGAGUAAAUUAACCUUCAGACACACCUCACUGAGUUUCUCGCCGGACCUUCUCAGUGGGUCGCGUUUCCGAUCCGGUGGUAGAUUCUGCGAAGCACGGCUCUUGCUAGGGUUCGAGUUAGCAACGUCGUUGGUUUGGUUUGAGCCCCGUGAGCUCACCUACUAGUUAAGGUUACGCUGAAAUAGCCUCUAAAGGCUCUCAACUUAGGUAGGAAAAAAAAAAAGCUGAAAACGAAAAAAAAAUUGACGAGCACGGUGUUGUAAGAUAUUAUAUGUACAAUUUAUAUUACAUUCAAUAAAAAGUGCUUAGCGAGUAUCAAAAAUAAUGAUAUGAAAGUUUCGCGACAAAUGCCGCCUUAAAAUACCACUAGUGAAUUUAAAACAUUUCCUUUGUAGAUUUAACAUACAUUCCAAAGAUAAGUUUAGCAGAAGAACGAGAGCAUUUUUUUUUUUUUAUAUUUAUAUAUUUACCUAACUAAUGAUGACCGACACAAGUGUUGGUUUCUUAUCUGAAGCGCGUCACAGAACGGCCGGUAGCAAACGGGAUGCUUGUUCUGAUAAUGCCCGCAAUAAAGCUUAACAUAAACAGUGAUGUUCAUAUUAAAAUAUUCGCUCGCGUUCGAUGUACUGAAAUUGGUUUAUGUAAAUCUCUUCUUUCUUUCCCUAAGCUGAGAGCCUUGAGAGGCUAUAUCAGCGUAACUUUAACUAGUAGGUGAGAUCGCGGGGCUCAAAUCUGACGACGUUGCUAACACGAACCCUAGCUAGAGCCGUGCUUCGCAGAAUCUACCUCCGGAUCGGAAACGCGACCCACUGAAAAGAUCCGGCGAGAAACUCAGUGGCUUUAAUGGAAUCUACCACCGAAUCCGAAACGCGACCCACUGAGAAGAUUCGGCGAGAAACUCAGUGCGCUGUGUUUGUGGGUUAAUUUACUCGCCGAGCCCUUCGUCGCAAGCGACGGGUUCGACGAGAACGAUGACCGGAAUUAUUAAUACUUCACAUUCGCCGUACCAGAUUCAUACGAGAGGUGUUUGGAGAUGAGGAACCGAGAAAUGACAUAAAGAUCCCAAAGGCCGAACAGUUGGCUAAGUGUCUGCCCAAGCUUUCAAAAUCCAAGAUAACAGU